rnacentral:tRNA from 1 species
GUUAAUGUAGCUUAAACCAAAAGCAAAGCACUGAAAAUGCUUAGAUGGGUUCCAUUUACCCCAUAAACA